GACGAACGCUUGCGGCGUGCUUAACACAUGCAAGUCGAGCGGAGCGGCGAACGGGGGAGUAACGCGUGAGUAACUGCCCCCCUCUCUGGGAGAACAGUUGGAAACGGCUGCCAAUACCGGAUAGUGGGGGAUGACUCGCGUCCUCUCAGCUUGUUGGUGGGGUAGUGGCCUACCAAGGCGACGACGGGUAGCCGGCCUGAGAGGGAGACCGGCCCCAUUGGGCUGGGGUACGGCCCGAGCUCCUACGGGUGGCAGCAGUGGGGAAUAUUUCACACUGGGGGAAGCCCUGAUGCAGCGCCGCCGCGUGCGGGAGGCCGGCCUUCGGGUUGUAACCCGCUUUCAGCCAUGACGCGGUAGUGGAAGAAGAAGCACCGGCUAACUACGUGCCAGCAGCCGCGGUAAUAC
rnacentral:rRNA from 1 species